AGAUUGGGUAAUCUCAUCCACUCUCAACCCAAUCAAGCUCAGUAUAUUACCUUUAUGCCCUGAAUAUUUAUUUCUAAUUACAAGACUACCCCAUAUAUAUAGGAAUUACCCCAAAAAUUAUUGAGUUAGCCCUAGAAUUUUACCGACAUGGCAAUACACGCCGUUCUUCGUUCUGCUUUUCUCCACUGUGGUCGGUAGUUUUUUCACCGAGAUUUCUUCAAACGCAUCCGAGUAUUGCUGAAGAAGUUUGGGUUCAUAUGGGUGAUUUUCGAUUUUGGUUUCGAAGUAGUUCGUAGUUUGGCCGGGCUGAUUCUGUUCCGGCCGAACGAUUCCGGUGUUGCAGCUGGUUGACAGUUGGCUGUCGAUUAUCCCGGUUCUGCUACACGACGAUUUAAGGUGAGUUCUCCAAUGGGUUUAAGCUCGUCUUUUAGAUUACAGAUUAAGGAUUGAGAAAGGUAGCAUUUAUUUGGAAAAAAUAUUGUAUCUUUUUUUUUUGGGAAAAAAUAGUACAUUAGUGAAAUAAUAUAUGGUGUUACUCAGUAUAAAUUGUUUGGCCUUAAUAUUGUUUGGCAUAAACAGUAUAUAAAGAAUGCAAUUAAGUUGUUUUUUUUGUAAUAGUUUACGAUAGUUAUUUCAUCUUUGCUUGCUCUAGGAGUUGGUUUAUAUGUUUCAUAUGUUUGAGAGAGGUUACAGGGUCUGGAAUGUGAAAUUUAGUUGUGAAUGUGUUUGAGAGAGGUUGCAUGGUCUGGAAUGUGAAAUUUAGUUGUCAACGAUCCAACGGUCUUUAACUCUAUACUCGAUGAAAUCGCCGCCGAAAUGCGACUCACUACGGUGAGACCUUUACGAAUGACGUUGUUAAACGUCGGACCUUCCUACUAAAAAAUCGUUUCAAUGCAUUUGUCAAAUUCAUUGGACUACCCGGUGUCAACUACAACCGUAGGACCGAACGUGUAUCGGUUGACCGGACGUAUGUCACGAGUCCAAAGAACAAAGUAUGUAAACCUAUUUUUAUUGCAUAAAAUGCACGGUAAAAUUUUUGUUGUCUUAUUCUAUGAAUAUGCAAAUCAUUUAAUUGUGUAUGACCCUAUACUUUUCCCUUUCACAAUUAGAAAAAAACGGAACAUGCAUUGCACAACUAUUUCGCUGCUAACGGGUUUCCCUACUACGACACUUUUGAGUUGGUAUUUGUGGAGAAAGAAGCAGGGACGAUAGAGUUUAGUGAUAAACAAGGGUUCGUAAAAGAUGACCCAAUCACAAUUGACGAAGGAACUCGACCGGGUGUUGAGGGUGUGAACGAUGAAUACGCUAUUGUGCCGUAUGAGGGUGUGAACGAUGUUGUGCCCGUGGGUUACUAUACCGGCGAGACCGACGGGUUCUCGGGGCGUAUAGAUGGUUGACAGCGAGUCAACUAGCUUGGUCAUUGUGAUUUCUGAUAUUUUUAUGACUUUAUUCUCCGUUUACCGUAUUUUUCAUCGUUGUAAUUGUUUUAUUGUCUUCGUGUUUUUUUAUUUUAUUUCAUAGUAAUUGGUUUAUGCAAUUGCGAAAGUAUCGUUGUGCUCGGUCAUUGGUUAUAGUGUGAUCAAUUAUUCAAUUAUAACUUUAAAUUCUAUA